UACAGAGGGGGCAAGCGUUAUUCGGAAUUAUUGGGCGUAAAGGGCGCGUAGGCGGCUUGGCAAGUGGAUGGUGAAAUCCCUCGGCUUAACCGAGGAACUGCCGUCCAAACUGCUUUGCUUGAGGCCGGGAGAGGCGAGUGGAAUUCCCAGUGUAGCGGUGAAAUGCGUAGAUAUUGGGAGGAACACCAGUGGCGAAGGCGGCUCACUGGACCGGUACUGACGCUGAUGCGCGAAAGCGUGGGGAGCAAACGGG
rnacentral:rRNA from 1 species